AUCUAGCUGACGAGUCCCAAAUAGGACGAAAUGCGCAUCCUGGAU
rfam:Trichobilharzia regenti genome assembly, scaffold: TRE_scaffold0100147